CUUAUAAGUUGUUAAUUUAAAAAUUAAUUAUAUCUCUUAUUAAAGCAUUAGGAUAUUAAGUAAUUGAGAUAGAAAUUUAGUUUAAAGGAGUAAAAGUACCGCAAGGGAAAUUAAUAGAGUGAAAGAAAGCAGCUUAAGCAGCGUACUUUUUGCAUCACGGCUUAGUAAGAAUAAUUUAGUUAUCUAAGUUCUCGAAAUCUGACGAGCUAUCUUUAUUUUGUUUUUUAGGACAUAAAAUUAUUCUAGAUGUAGCAAAAUCUAAAUAAAAAAUAAAGAUAGAGAUGAAAUUUCAUUCGCGUCGGUGAUAGCUAGUUCCUCCUGAUAUAUAUAUAAGUAUGUAAGUAACUUUAUUUCAAAAAAUGUUUUAUUUUGAUGUUAUGUUAACUUUCAUUUAUUUGAGGAUAAGCUCGAAUAAAGACUUGAGAAAUUAUAAAUUGAUAGUUUUCUGUGUAGGCUUAAGAUUGGCUAUCACUAAAAAACUUGUUAUAAAGUAGUUUUCUAACUGCUCAAGAUUAUUAUAUAAAAUUUCCGAUUUAAAUAAGGAGGUAUCAAAAAUCUAAACUUUUUGGGUCGAAUAACGAUGCUAAGAUGAGUAUUAUAGCUAGAAUAAAUAUGAAGAGUAAAAUAAAAGCUUUUCUUUAGGUAUAUCAGUUUGUAAUUUUAAAUAUUAAGAAGGAACUCGGCAAAUUUCUGCUUCGCCUGUUUAUCAAAAACAUGGCUCUUUGACUAAAGUUUUAUAAAGAGUCGAGCCUGCCCAGUGAAAAUUUUAACGGCCGCGGUACUCUGACCGUGCAAAGGUAGCAUAAUCAUUUGCCUUAUAAUUGAAGGCUAGUAUGAAUGGUUUGACGAAAGCAGAUCUGUCUCCUUUUUAUUUUUCAGAAUUUGACUUUUAGGUGAAGAGGCCUAAAUAAAAUUGAAGGACAAGAAGACCCUGUCGAGCUUAAAAGAACUCAUAGAAGUUAAUAUAACUAUAAAUAAAUAGUCUAUUAAGCUUUUUAGUUGGGGCGACUGAGGAACAAAGAAAGCUUUUUAAGUAUAAAAGACAAACAAGUUUAGAUCC
rnacentral:rRNA from 1 species